CCCUGCCAAUUGACAACACAAAAUCGGUCGCACUGCAUAUGCGUCAUUUUUGACCUAGCGCCUUGACGUGACAUCCGAGCAGAGCAGGGCAGUGUACAGUCUUUCUUCUAGGGAAGCAUAAAGUGCCUUAGACGGAAUGAGUGUCCCCAACUACACAGAGGAAAGUAUGAGCAGAGGAUGGAGCAGUUCUGCUGGACGUACACAGGAGGAAAGUGUCCUUCAACUGGAAAGACAUGGUCAUGUUCCUUGAGGGAGAGGACUGCUAGCAUUGAAAGUACGCUAUGCAGUAAAGGAAGGCUAACCUAUAUCAUAGCCUUUUAUGUGUAAAUAGGUUAUGUAAAGAAACACUGACAAUGGUGACUGACUGACUGUUAGACUUAUUCUUAGAGGAGUGUCUACCAUGGUGGAUAAAUGAAGAUAUCACAUAAAGGCUGUUUACCAUAUAAAAAAAGGUUGGUCACAGUUCCGGUCUACGUAAGGAGUGGCUUUCCCAUACGCACCAAUGCAAUAGCAGCCGGGUCUGGUCUAGUUAGUUCAUUGACUGUAUAUGAACCAGAAAAAUAUCUCGCUUCCUCUUCAGUCACAGGUAUCUACCACAAAUCACGUGACAAUAUUUUUGCCCACAAUUCCAGAACAACACGUGCUCCGGACGUUAAAGAACGAGCGUAUCUUUGCUUGGCAGCCCGGCGAAGACCUGUCCACGGAGUAGAUGUGUGAGGUCACGUUCAGACGCUGUAAACAGAUGUUCCAGUACGACUUUCUGACACGCGAUGACAUCAUGGGGAAGCCGUGGAGGACAGUGGUGCUAAAUGACUGGGCAUGUGUGACUGGCCCCUGGGUGCCAACUAUUUGAAUCCUUAACAAAUGGGUCAGAGACCCCAAGACUGCUGGUGAUGCCAGGAGUGAUGGUAGGAGAUAUGGGGGAAAAACUGUGUCAGAACGGACUGGACAAUGAAUAGGUUCAAAACCAUUUGUUUUUAUAGAAAAAAAACGAUGCCUUUCAUCACACCAUCCUAUUCUUUGGCAUUCAGUCAAAAUGAGAAACAUUCAUGUUAUUAUAUUACUAAAGAGUCAUAUUCAUUGUGAACUUUGGUUGUGACACUUCAAGACCACCAGAGGGCAGUAUAAUCCUACUUUAUAUGACUUAGAACGUCCACAAUGUUAUUUGGAACAGAACUUUCAACCAUGAGAAUGUUGUCUCCCAGGGUGUGCAUAACCAUCUCUCCCAGGGUGUGCAGAGUUUCUACAGUACAAAUGCUUAGAACUAAGCUAUACAGUGUACAAAACAUUAGGAACAUCUUCCUAAUGUUGAAUUGCACCCCCCCCCCUUGCCCUCAGAACAGCCUCUUGUUGUCGGGGCAUAGACUCUACGAGAUGUCGAACGUGUUCCACAGGGAUACUGGCCCAUGUUGAUUCCAAUGCUUCCCACAGUUGUGUCAAGUUGGUUGAAUGACCUUUGGGUGAUACACACCAGAAACUGUUGAGCUUGAAAAACCCAGCAGGUUGCAGUUCUUGACACCUACUACCAUACCCCGUUCAAAGGCUCUUAAAUCUUUUGUCUCGCCAAUUCACCCUCUGAAUGGCACACAUACACAAUCCAUGUCUCAAUUGUCUCGAUGCUUAAAAAUCCUUCUUUAACCUGUCUCCUCCCCUUCAUCUACACUGAUUUGAAGUGUAUUUAACAAGUGACAUCAAUAAUGGAUCAUAGCUUUCACCUGGAUUCACCUGGUCAGUCUAUGUCAUGGAAACAGUAUUCCUAAAAUGGGCUCAAAGGUUAUUGGCAACUACCUAAGAUAUUCUUUGUUUCACCGAUCAGGUUUGCAGUGUUUCACAAUGGCCAAGUCCCUCUGGAAAUAUGCUCAAUAAGAUCACUGAUGUCACCCUGAGGGAUACUCCGUCAUACCUUUUUAAGAUGAGGAAACCCACCUGCAUGCACACACACUCACACACACACACACAGACUCCUUUCACACAUACUUUUCCUCUCUGGAAAAAGGAAAGGAUGAGGAAGUAGAAGUAAAUUUUUUACAACUAACUGCGUGUCCACGACUAUGAUCAAAUAUCUACUAUUGUGUCUCAGAACCUAAUAGUUUGUCAUUGUAAAGUUUUAGCCAGAAUUCCAACACCAACCUUCUGUAGGACUUGGCUGGGCUCUACUUAUUCGUGGUGGGAUGUCAAAUGAAAACAUAUAAACAAACAUUCUGGUUUGAAGUCUUCAGGCCUCCACGCCUGAUCUCACAGGAAGAAUCUUUCCUCUGUUUUUGUUCCAAACAAACAUGGAUGGGUUUGACCCGUGAAAAGAAAAAUGUCUGUCUGUGUUUGCACACACACACACACACACACACACACACACACACACACACACACACACACACACACACACACACACACACACACACACACACACACACACACACACACACACACAGACAUGCACACACACAAACACACACACAGACAGACACACACACUGAGAUGACACUGCAUGUGCUCAAACACGUAAAAAGAAAAAGAGCGGGCCCCUCUGGGUUGACCUGAAUGAUGGGAACUUGGCCUUAAGAGGCUUCUGAGAAAACACCUAAUGACUAGGGGAGGAGGGAGCCCUUAAUCGCUCUGCGGUUAGGAUUGGAAUCCCAGAAAGGCCUGUAUUCAUUACAGAAAACCGUAACAAAAUGCAGUAAAAAGUUUUGCAACGGAAAAUGAAAAUGAUUGUUUUGUUUUAUUGGACAAGUUCAGUGUGUCCCCUACUUGUUUCAGUCCGUGUUCUUCUGUUUGGUGCCUAAUGAAUACGACCCUGGUCAAAAUUGGCACUUUUUUACUGCUAGUUUAAUGGGUAACAAGGAGCCUAGAAAAAGGGGGUGAGGAGAGUAGGAGGAAAUGUUUGGAAAAUUCCUCUGUACCCUUGAGACAUGUAAAGGAGUCAGUCUUAACAGGACUACUCUAAACAACCGGAAACUGUUCAUGUUGGUGAAAGUCAACAGAAAAUGAUUCACAUUGAUGUUAAACUUGUACAUAAACUUGGAGAACUGGACUGUAUUAAUCAGUUGAUAGUAAUUAAGUGGGAUUUCCUUCUUCAAUCAGUUAGUUUUUUUUUAACAAGUGAAUGCUGAUACUCUUGAGAAGAGUUUUACCCCCUUGCAUUAUUCAAGUUUUAUUCAAGGGCUCCACAAAUAAAUUCUGAAAGAUAUGAAAACUGGUCCGUCCACUCUCCCUCCCGUCCAUCCUCCCUCCCGUCCACUCUCCCGUCCGUCCGUCCACCCUCUCUCCCUCCAUCCCAUCCACCCUCCCGUCUGUCCACCCGUCCGUCCACCCUCCCUCCCGUCCACUCUCCCGUCCGUCCGUCCACCCUCUCUCCCUCCCUCCUGUCCACUCUCCCGUCCGUCCGUCUGUCCGUCCACCCUCUCUCCCUCCCUCCCUCCUGUCCACUCUCCCUCCCGUCCACUCUCCCUC